UGGGGAAUAUUGCACAAUGGGCGCAAGCCUGAUGCAGCCAUGCCGCGGGUAUGAAGAAGGCCUUCGGGUUGUAAAGUACUUUCAGUAGGGAGGAAGGUGGUAAGGUUAAUAACCUUAUCAAUUGACGUUACCGACAGAAGAAGCACCGGCUAACUCCGUGCCAGCAGCCGCGGUAAUACGGAGGGUGCAAGCGUUAAUCGGAAUUACUGGGCGUAAAGCGCACGCAGGCGGUUGAUUGAGUCAGAUGUGAAAUCCCCGGGCUUAACCCGGGAAUUGCAUCUGAUACUGGUCAGCUAGAGUCUUUAGAGGGGGGUAGAAUUCCAUGUGUAGCGGUGAAAUGCGUAGAGAUGUGGAGGAAUACCGGUGGCGCAGGCGACCCCCUGGACAAAGACUGACGCUCAGGUGCGAAAGCGUGGGGAGCAAACAGG
rnacentral:rRNA from 1 species